UACGAAGGGUGCAAGCGUUAAUCGGAAUUACUGGGCGUAAAGGGUGCGUAGGCGGUUUGUUAAGUCUGUUGUGAAAUCCCCGGGCUCAACCUGGGAAUGGCAAUGGAUACUGGCAAGCUAGAGUGUGUCAGAGGAUGGUGGAAUUUCCGGUGUAGCGGUGAAAUGCGUAGAGAUCGGGAGGAACAUCAGUGGCGAAGGCGAGUCUCUGGACAUUUCCUGACGCUGAGGCGCGAAAGCCAGGGGAGCAAACGGG
rnacentral:rRNA from 1 species